rnacentral:rRNA from 1 species
GACGAACCGUACAAACGUUAUUCGGAAUCACUGGGCUUAAAGGGUGCGUAGGCGGCGCCGCAAGUCGCGUGUGAAAGCCCCGGGCUCAACCUGGGAGGUGCGCGCGAGACUGUGGUGCUGGAGUUCGGGAGAGGAGCGUGGAAUUCCCAGUGUAGAGAUGAAAUUCGUAGAUAUUGGGAAGAACACCGGUGGCGAAGGCGGCGCUCUGGACCGAGACUGACGCUGAGGCGCGAAGGCGUGGGGAGCAAACAGG